UGAUCUUUAUUUUUAGCUCACCUGACCUGAAAGGUCAAGUGAGCUUUUCUCAUCACUUUGCGUCCGUCGUCCGUCGUCCGUCGUCCGUAAACUUUUACAAAAAUCUUCUCCUCUGAAACUACUGGGCCAAAUUUGACCAAACUUGGCCACAAUCAUCAUUGGGGUAUCUAGUUUAAAACAUGUGUCCGGUGACCCAGUCAACCAACCAAGAUGGCCGCCAUGGCUAAAAAUAGAACAUAGGGGUAAAAUGUAGAUUUUGGCUUAUAUCUCUGAAACCAAAGCAUUUAGAGCAAAUCUGACAUGGGGUAAAAUUGUUUACCAGGUCAAGAUCUAUCUGCCCUAAAAUUUUUAGAUGAAUCGGACAACCCGUUGUUGGGUUGCUGCCCCUGAAUUGGUAAUUUUAAGGAAAUUUUGCCGUUGGUUAUUAUCUUGAAUAUUAUUAUAGAUAGAGAUAAACUGUAAACAGCAAUAAUGUUCAGCAAAGUAAGAUCUACAAAUAAGUUAACAUGACCAAAAUGGUCAGUUGACCCCUUAAGGAGUAAUUGCCCUUUAUAGUCAAUUUUUAACCAUUUUUCGUAAAUUUUUGUAAUCUUUUACAAAAAUCUUCUCCUCUGAAACUACUAAGACAAAUUUAACCAAACUUGUCCACAAUCAUCAUAAGGGUAUAUAGUUUAAAAAAUGUGUCCGAUGACCCCGCCUGCGAACCAAGAUGGCCGACAUGGCUAAAAAAUAGUACAUAGGGUAAAAUGCAGUUAUUGGCUCAUAUCUCUGAAACCAAAGCAUUUAGAGCAAAUCUGAUCAGGAUACAAUUGUUCAUUAGGUCAAGAUCUAUCUGCCCUGAAAUUUUCAGACCAAUCAGGCAACCCGUUGUUGGGUUGCUGCCCCAUGAAUUGGUAAUUUUAAGGAAAUUUUGCCGUUUUUGGUUAUUAUCUUGAAUAUUAUUAUAGAUAGAGAUAAACUGUAAACAGCAAUAAUGUUCUGCAAAGUAAGAUCUACAAAUAAGUCAACAUGACCAAAAUGGUCAGUUGACCCCUUAAGGAGUUAUUGCCCUUUAUAGUCAAUUUUUAACCAUUUUUCGUAAAUUUUUGUAAUUUUUUACAAAAAUCUUCUCCUCUGAAACUACUAGGACAAAUUUAACCAAACUUGUCCACAAUCAUCAUAAGGGUAUCUAGUUUAAAAAAUGUGUCCGGUGACCCAGCCCGCGAACCAAGAUGGCCGACAUGGCUAAAAAAUAGUACAUAGGGUAAAAUGCAGUUUUUGGCUCAUAUCUCUGAAACAAAGCAUUUAGAGCAAAUCUGAUGAGGAUAAAAUUGUUAAUUAGGCCAAGAUCUAUCUGCCCUGAAAUUUUCAGACCAAUCAGGCAACCCGUUGUUGGGUUGCUGCCCCUGAAUUGGUAAUUUUAAGGAAAUUUUGCCGUUUUUGGUUAUUAUCUUGAAUAUUAUUAUAGAUAGAGAUAAACUGUAAACAGCAAUAAUGUUCAGCAAAGUAAGAUCUACAAAUAAGUCAACAUGACCAAAAUGGUCAGUUGACCCCUUAAGGAGUUAUUGCCCUUUAUAGUCAAUUUUUAACCAUUUUUCGUAAAUUUUUGUAAUUUUUUACAAAAAUCUUCUCCUCUGAAACUACUAAGACAAAUUUAACCAAACUUGUCCACAAUCAUCAUAAGGGUAUCUAGUUUAAAAAAUGUGUCCGAUGACCCCGCCCGCGAACCAAGAUGGCCGACAUGGCUAAAAAAUAGUACAUAGGGUAAAAUGCAGUUUUUGGCUCAUAUCUCUGAAACAAAGCAUUUAGAGCAAAUCUGAUGAGGAUAAAAUUGUUAAUUAGGCCAAGAUCUAUCUGCCCUGAAAUUUUCAGACCAAUCAGGCAACCCGUUGUUGGGUUGCUGCCCCUGAAUUGGUAAUUUUAAGGAAAUUUUGCCGUUUUUGGUUAUUAUCUUGAAUAUUAUUAUAGAUAGAGAUAAACUGUAAACAGCAAUAAUGUUCAGCAAAGUAAGAUCUACAAAUAAGUCAACAUGACCAAAAUGGUCAGUUGACCCCUUAAGGAGUUAUUGCCCUUUAUAGUCAAUUUUUAACCAUUUUUCGUAAAUUUUUGUAAUUUUUUACAAAAAUCUUCUCCUCUGAAACUACUAAGACAAAUUUAACCAAACUUGUCCACAAUCAUCAUAAGGGUAUCUAGUUUAAAAAAUGUGUCCGAUGACCCCGCCCGCGAACCAAGAUGGCCGACAUGGCUAAAAAAUAGUACAUAGGGUAAAAUGCAGUUUUUGGCUCAUAUCUCUGAAACCAAAGCAUUUAGAGCAAAUCUGAUGAGGAUAAAAUUGUUCAUUAGGUCAAGAUCUAUCUGCCCUGAAAUUUUCAGACCAAUCAGGCAACACGUUGUUGGGUUGCUGCCCCUGAAUUGGUAAUUUUAAGAAAAUUUUGCAGCUUUUGGUUAUUAUCUUGAAUAUUAUUAUAGAUAGAGAUAAACUGUAAACGGCAAUAAUGUACAGCAAAGUUAGAUCUACAAAUAAGGCAAACAUGACCAAAAUUGUCAAUUGACUCCUUAAGGAGUUAUUGCCCUUCAUAGUAAAUUUUUUACAAUUUUCAUAAAUUUUGUAAAUUUUUGUAAAUUUUUACAAAGUAUUUUCCACUGUAACUACCGGGCCAAGUUCAUUAUAGAUAGAGAUAAUAGUAAGGAGCAAGAAUGUUCAGUAAAGUAAGAUCUACAAACACAUCACCAUCACCAAAACACAAUUUUGUCAUGAAUCCAUCUGUGUCCUUUGUUUAAUAUGCACAUAGACCAAGGUGAGCGACACAGGCUCUUUAGAGCCUCUAGU